AGAACGAACGUUAGCGGCGCGCUUAACACAUGCAAGUCGCACGAGAAAGGGCUUCGGCCCCGGUAAAGUGGCGCACGGGUGAGUAACACGUGGAUAAUCUUCCCUCGGGCGGGGGAUAACAUUCCGAAAGGAGUGCUAAUACCGCAUAAGACCACGGCUUCGAAAGGAGCUGAGGUCAAAGCCGGCCUCUAUAUAUAAGCUGGCACCUGAGGAUGAGUCCGCGGCCCAUCAGCUAGUUGGCAGGGUAAUGGCCUACCAAGACAAAGACGGGUAGCUGGUCUGAGAGGAUGAUCAGCCACACUGGAACUGAGACACGGUCCAGACUCCUACGGGAGGCAGCAGUGGGGAAUUUUCCGCAAUGGAGGCAACUCUGACGGAGCAACGCCGCGUGCAGGAUGAAGGUUUUCGGAUCGUAAACUGCUUUCUCGGGGACGAGCAAGGACGGUACCCGAGGAAGAAGCCCCGGCUAACUACGUGCCAGCAGCCGC
rnacentral:rRNA from 1 species